rnacentral:tRNA from 1 species
GUUCCUUUAGCUCAGUGGUAGAGCGGAAGAUUGCAGUUAAUCUCAAUUAUCUUCAGGUCACUCGUUCGAACCGGGUAGGGAACU